GACGAACGCUGGCGGCGUGCUUAACACAUGCAAGUCGAGCGGAAAGGCCCCUUCGGGGGUACUCGAGCGGCGAACGGGUGAGUAACACGUGAGCAACCUGCCCCUGACUCUGGGAUAAGC
rnacentral:rRNA from 1 species